GGUGUUAGGGCCAACAUCUCUUGGUCUUUCCCCUGUGGUCCCAAGAUGGCUGUUGCAACUUAACGCCAU
ensembl:miRNA MIR2909 microRNA 2909